ensembl:lncRNA
AUGAGCAACAAACAGGAGGAGCUCGAAGCCUUCGUGCAGCAGGCAAACUAUGACUUAGUUUCCAUUACGGAAACAUGGUGGGAUCGCUCCCAUGACUGGAGUGCUGCGAUGGAUAUCUACAAGCUCUUCAGAAAGGAUAGGCAAGGAAGGAGGGGUGGUGGCGUGGCUCUCUAUGUUAGAGACUGUUUUGAUGUUAUUGAGCUUGCAACUGGGGAAGAUAACAUUGAAUCUCUAUGGGUUAGGAUCAAAGGAAAGGCUGACAAGGCAGACAUCCUGGUGGAGUUCUGUUAUAGACCACCUAACCUGGAUGAAGAGACAGAUGAGGCAUUCUAUAAACAGCUGGCUGAAGUUGAACGAUCGCCAACCCUUGUCCUCAUGGGGGACUUCAACUUCCCUGAUAUAUGCUGGGAAUACAACACGGCACAGAAGAAGCAGUCUGGGAGGUUUCUAGAGUGUAUGGAAGAUAACUUCCUUCUGCAGCUGGUGAGAGAACCUACCAGGGGAGGUGCCCUGCUAGACCUGCUGUUUACAAACAGGGAAGAUCUGGUGGGAGAUGUGGAAGUUGGAGGCUGCCUUGGACAGAGCAACCAUGAAAUGGUAGAGUUCUCGAUUCUUGGUGGAACCAGGAGAGGGGACAGCAAAACUGCUAUCUUGGAAUUUUGGAGGGCAGACUUUGAAUUGUUCAGGAAACUGGUAGGGAGGGUCCCUUGGGAUUCGGUCUUGGAGGGUAAAGGGGUCCAGGAAGGCUGGUUGCUCCUCAAGAAGGAAGUCCUGAAGGCGCAGGAACAGGCUGUCCCCCUGAGCUGCAAGAUGAGCCGGCCGGGAAGGAGACCGGCAUGGAUGAACAGGGAGCUUUUCCUGAGGCACUACAUCCUGUGGAAGAAGGGACAGGCAACUCGGAAAGAGUACAAAGAGGUUGUUAGGAUGUGCAGGGAGAAAAUUAGAAAGGCAAAGGCCCAGCUCAAACUAAGCUUGGCUGCUGGGAUAAAAGGGAACAAGAAACUCUUCUACAGAUAUAUUAACAGUAAGAGGAGGACCAAGGAGAAUCUCCAUUGCUUACUGGGUGCGGCUGGGAAUGUGGCCACUGAGGACAAGGAAAAGGCUGAGGUUCUCAAUGCCUUUUUUACGUCUGUCUUUAAAAGCCAGACCAGUUAUCCUCAGAGUACUCUACUCCCUGACCUGGAAGUCUCAGAUGGGGACUGGAAUAAACCCCCCAUGAUUCAGAAGGAAAUGGUCAGAGACCUACUACUCCACCUGGACUGCCACAAGUCCAUGGGGCCGGACGAGAUCCACCCAAGAGUACUGAGGGAGCUGGUGGAGGAGAUAGCCAAGCCGCUUUCCAUCAUCUAUCGGCAUUCCUGGUCAACUGGAGAGGUCCCAGAAGACUGGAAACUUGCCAGUGUGACUCCCAUCUACAAGAAGGGUCAUAAGGAGGAUCCGGGGAACUACAGGCCUGUCAGCCUGACCUCGGUGUCAGGGAAGGUUAUGGAGCAGAUUGUCCUGAGGGAGAUCAUGCGGCAUUUGCAGGACAACCAGGGGACCAGGCGCAGCCAGCAUGGGUUUGUGAAGGGCAGGUCCUGCUUGACCAACCUGAUCUCCUUUUAUGAUUGA